GAUGAAUGCUGGCGGCGUGCCUAAUACAUGCAAGUCGUACGGAAAGGCCCUUCGGGGUACUCGAGUGGCGGACGGCUGAGUAACGCGUGGGAACGUGCCCCAAAGUGAGGGAUAACGCACCGAAAGGUGUGCUAAUACCGCAUAUGGUCUUCGGAUUAAAGCUUCGGCGCUUUGGGAGCGGCCCGCGUACGAUUAGAUAGUUGGUAGGGUAAUGGCCUACCAAGUCGACGAUCGUUAGCUGGUCUGAGAGGAUGAUCAGCUAGACUGGAACUGAGACACGGUCCAGACUCCUACGGGAGGCAGCAGUAAGGAAUCUUCCACAAUGGGGGCAACCCUGAUGGAGCAACGCCGCGUGCAGGAUGAAGGCCCUCGGGUCGUAAACUGCUUUUAUGAGUGAAGAAUAUGGCGGUAACUCAUGAAUAAGCACCGGCUAACUACGUGCCAGCCGCCGCGGUAA
rnacentral:rRNA from 1 species